rnacentral:tRNA from 1 species
ACCUGGAUAGCUCAGUUGGUAGAGCAUCAGACUUGUAAUCUGAUGGUACAAUGUUCAAGUCCCUGUUCAGGUG